rnacentral:rRNA from 1 species
GUGCAGCAGGCGCGAAAACUUUACAAUGUGCGAAAGCACGAUAAGGGAACUCUGAGUGCCUCCUAAGGAGGCUGUUCAGGUGUCUAAAAGCACCUGGAGUAAGGGCUGGGUAAGACCGGUGCCAGCCGCCGCGGUAACACCGGCAGCCCAGGUGGUAGCCACUUUUAUUGGGUCUAAAGCGUCCGUAGCCGGUUGAGUAAGUUCCUUGGGAAAUUUGGCUGCUCAACAGUCAAGCUUCCAGGGAAUACUGCUCGACUUGGGACUGGGAGAGGUCAGAGGUACUCCAGGGGUAGGGGUGAAAUCCAUUAAUCCCUGGGGGACCACCGGUAGCGAAGGCGUCUGACCAGACCAGGUCCGACGGUGAGGGGACGAAGGCUAGGGUCGCGAACCGGAUUAGAUACCCGUGUAGU